rnacentral:rRNA from 1 species
GAUCAUGGCUCAGGAUGAACGCUAGCUACAGGCUUAACACAUGCAAGUCGAGGGGCAGCAUUUCAGUUUGCUUGCAAACUGGAGAUGGCGACCGGCGCACGGGUGAGUAACACGUAUCCAACCUGCCGAUAACUCGGGGAUAGCCUUUCGAAAGAAAGAUUAAUACCCGAUAGUAUAAUGAAACCGCAUGGUCUUAUUAUUAAAGAAUUUCGGUUAUCGAUGGGGAUGCGUUCCAUUAGGCAG